AAGGUCUAACCUGCCCAAUGAGUAAUUGAAUGGCCGCGGUAUUUUAACUGUGCUAAGGUAGCAUAAUCACUUGUCUUUUAAUUAAAGGCUAGAAUGAAUGGUUGGACGAGGUAUAAUCUUUCUUUAACUUAAUCAUUGAAUUUAAUUUUUCAGUUAAAAAGCUGAAAUGUUUUUGAGGGACGAGAAGACCCUAUAGAUCUUUAUAUAUUUAUUUAUUAUAUAUUUUGGUGAAUUAGUUAUUUUAAUAAAUUUAUAUAUUUGGUUGGGGCGAUUGUGGAAUAAAAAUAACUUCUAUUAUUAAGAUUUCAUUAAUUAAUGUAUUAUUGAUCCAUUAUUAAUGAUUAUAAGAUUAAGUUACCUUAGGGAUAACAGCGUAAUUUCUUUGGAGAGUUCUUAUCAAUAAAGGAGUUUGCGACCUCGAUGUUGGAUUAAAAUAAGUAAUAGGUGCAAAAGUUUAUAUACUGGGUCUGUUCGACCUU
rnacentral:rRNA from 1 species